rnacentral:rRNA from 1 species
GAUGAACGCUGGCGGCGUGCCUAAUACAUGCAAGUCGAGCGAACGGACGAGAAGCUUGCUUCUCUGAUGUUAGCGGCGGACGGGUGAGUAACACGUGGAUAACCUACCUAUAAGACUGGGAUAACUUCGGGAAACCGGAGCUAAUACCGGAUAAUAUUUUGAACCGCAUGGUUCAAAAGUGAAAGACGGUCUUGCUGUCACUUAUAGAUGGAUCCGCGCUGCAUUAGCUAGUUGGUAAGGUAACGGCUUACCAAGGCAACGAUGCAUAGCCGACCUGAGAGGGUGAUCGGCCACACUGGAACUGAGACACGGUCCAGACUCCUACGGGAGGCAGCAGUAGGGAAUCUUCCGCAAAGGGCGAAAGCCUGACGGAGCAACGCCGCGUGAGUGAUGAAGGUCUUCGGAUCGUAAAACUCUGUUAUUAGGGAAGAACAAAUGUGUAAGUAACUGUGCACAUCUUGACGGUACCUAAUCAGAAAGCCACGGCUAACUACGUG